UACAGAGGUCUCAAGCGUUGUUCGGAUUCAUUGGGCGUAAAGGGUGCGUAGGCGGCGCGGUAAGUCGGGUGUGAAAUCUCGGAGCUUAACUCCGAAACUGCAUUCGAUACUGCCGUGCUUGAGGACUGGAGAGGAGACUGGAAUUUACGGUGCAGCGGUGAAAUGCGUAGAUAUCGUAAGGAAGACCAGUGGCGAAGGCGGGUCUCUGGACAGCUCCUGACGCUGAGGCACGAAGGUCAGGGGAGCAAACGGG
rnacentral:rRNA from 1 species